GUACUUUCCUUCCAGGGGCAAUACCAUGAUCAAGGAGGUGUUUUGCAUGAAACAAGGCUCAGCUAUUGCACUAAGGCUGUGCUAAUCUUUGUGAAUACCCCAAAUGCAGGAAUCUCGACUGCUUAAUUUCUGAUAUUGAGGGACUGCAUUCACGCUCUCCCCUU